GGGCUGAAAUUUUUGCACCUGGUGGCAGCGUUUCACUUUGGCUGUCCGUGUGCUUCAGGCACUGAGAGAUCGGUAUCAGAGAGCCUCUCCUUCCUGGCAGUGAUCUCAUGGUCUUACCCCUCUGUGUAGGUUCCCCUUUCUGCCUGCUCUCCUGACUGUGAUUCAGGGACGUGUUGAGGGGAUUCUAAGAUGAGUGCAGGGCAGGCGGUGACUGAAAGACACGUGGGGGAAUGCUUUGCAGGACCUCGGAAAGGAAAUGGGGAAGGAAGAAAUGGUGAAAAUGGCUCCUUUACCUCACCAGCUUUUCAUGGGAGGAGGGACUGGAGAUGCACCCAGGAGCUGCAAGGAAUCCUGAUGGAUGCAGAGGAGGAGCACUGUGAAAAGGACAUCCUGAAACCUGAGUGUGACCAGCCUCUGCUGCAUGCCAGCCUCUAGCCUGCAGAGCCAGGCAGGGCUGCUGCCAGCCCCAGGGAGUGUCUGACUCCUCUCUGCAAGCAACAGCUGACCUUUCAUGGCCUUUGAACUGCCAAGGUCUGCUCUAAGCAAGGUGCUACAGAAAUAACCAUCCCAUCUCCCAGUAAGUACAUGCCUCUUUGUAUGGUGCUUGGCAGCCCCUGCUCUGCCUCUUGCCUAGCAUCUCAGAGAGGGGAAGGAACACCAAAAAAAGCAGCUAAAAUGCAAAUUACUGCACUGCUGAGCUGGCUGGAUGUGGAAAACAAUCUGUCUGUGAUUCAAAGCACAGGUGCAGUCACAAAGUUGGAAUUCAAAACAAGUCCGGUCAAGCUCAGCAAGCGAAGUGCUGUGGGCACACAGCUCUCAGCUGUGCUUGGCUGCACCCAUGCACGAGGGAGCACCUCUGUAGCUGUGGGUGCGAGAGCUGCCCCUGCAGUUGUGUCACAGCCUUGUCUUGGAGGUGCUGGGCAGCUUAACGUGGGCUGAAGGUGACAGACUGUGAGAGUGCAAGGUGGGACACAGGGAAGCAGUACUGGCCUGACUCCCAUGCUACAGCUGCCAGGGCCUCCAAGGGAAAAAAAAACACUUUGAAUCCUGAGAAGAGCUUUGGGAAAGAGUUUCUUCAGGUGAAUGUUAUUACCCAGAAAUGGAUGAGCGUAUUUCCUGUCCUUGCUGACAGUGUUGUCUUCUUGUUAUUCUCAAGUUUCUGGACAGCAGCCACCAUCUGCUGGCAGGGCUUUGUAGCCACCAGAGCCAUGCUGCAGUUCAGCGCAUCCGACCUGUGACCUACAAACAGCCCAGCGCCACUCACAGCACUGCUGUGCCAUCGUGGCUCUGUCCUGGGACACGAGGAGGGCACAUUGUGCUGACAAAUAAUACAGCAGUGUGCUUAAUUUACAAGGAAAUCGUGCCAGCUUCCGAAGAUUGAAAUCUGAAAGGGCAUUAAUGCAGAAAUGUGCUGCCAGAUUCGAUGCGUAUCGAGGAAAGCUUUGUAAAGACAGAACAGCUGAACUGAAAAAAAGUCUGCAACCUCAACUACAUGUCUUUCAAAAAAAAUUAAAACUCAAAUGGGCUCGGUUACAAAAGCUGGAGACGUGGUAGCAAAACUGACUGCAAAAAACCUCUAACCAUUGACUGUUUAUUAAUGAUGUAUCUGCCAUGCUUGCCAUACAGGGUGUCCUGAUUAAGAAAAGGGAUUUCUCUAACAUCAGUUUGUCCCACCUGACUGGCCAGGUGAACUGAAGAAACAGGAAAAUCUAUCUAAGGAAAUUUGGAACGUAAAGCUGCUGGUUUCUAAUGUUUUGCUUUGGCAAUAGAUGAAAGUACUCAUGCUGCAGAUAUGGCUCAACUUGCCGCUUUCCCUAGACCAACUAAUAACAAAUACAGUAUCACUGAAGUAACAACUUUGGUGCCACUGAAGAUGCAACUCAAUCUCUUGAUUUGUAUGAAGCAGUAAAAAAUUACAUUAAAAAGCGUUUCUCUUCCACCUUUGUCAGCAUAUCUGGUGCAGCUCCUGUUGGUGCCCUGGCAAUGGUUGGUGAAAAGAAAACAGCCAGGGACUUACAGUUAAUAGGAGAUAAAGAAACUGCUGUCAGUUUGAUGAAACAUCACAGCAUUGUAUGUCCAGAAAAUUUGUGUGCAAAAGCUUUAAAGACGGGUAACACUGUGCAAAUUGCCAUCAAAGCUGUGAAGUUCAUAAAGCCCAAGGGACUGAAUCAUGGCCAGUUCCAGGAGACCAUUAAAAGAAUGGCUGCUGUUUGUGGGGACAUCAUUUCAGAAGGAAGGAAGGUGACUGAGUGGGGGUAAAAUGCAGAAAUGAUAUUAUGAUUUGUUGAAGUGAAAUCAAACACUUUAUGAAAUUCCCCAAAGGGGAAUUUGCACCACAGCAUGAGGACAGAUAAUGGUCACAUAUUCAGCAUUUUUAGUGGUUUGACCACUCAUUUAAAGGAGCUAAGCACGUGUCUUCAAGGUGAAAAUGAACUCACCUGUGCUGUUUCAGACAGUAACAGCUUUUUAAAUGACACAAAUCGUGGCAAACCCAACUGAUGGCAAUGCACUUCAUGCAUUGUGAUCCACUGACUAAGCAGCCUGUGAACAGCAAAAUAUAUGCAUCCAUACGUUCUGUUGCAAUAAAGGGAUUUGGGAAUAGGUUUCAAGAGUUCAAAAAAAAUUUUUAAUAUUUGUAACUCCAGUUUCAGUUGAAAUAAAGACAUUACAUGUGAA